GCGGGAGGGUCCCGGGCGUGGGGCCGCGCGAAGGCCUCGGGGCCCCUCCCUGCGCCCCUUCUGCAGGGCGGAGGCGGGGGCGCCGUCCCAGAUGCAUGCAGGUGGUGCUGAGUAGUUACGCACGGAAUGAUCUACCCCCACCCAGGAAGAAGGGGCAGAAAACCACAUGGGUGUCCCCACCCUGGCUCCAGAACCCUGGAAAUGUCUCCUCCCCUCUGAGCUCCACGUGCCCCCCCCCACAGCCUCACCACCAACCCCCACCCACCCCAGGAGGUCCCUUCCCGUACCCUCCAAGCCCCCAGGCCAGGGGCUGGCACCCUGCCCAACCCCUCAAACACCACCAAACACCAGGCACUGGGCAUGUCAGGGUCAGCAGGCCCUGGAGCCGCUUCUCCCGCCUCUGCCCUCUGUCUAGACAGCACCCGAGGGCGAGGGCACGCGGAGCCCCGCGCCUGGCAGCCCCCCCACCGCCUGGCCCGCCUCUUACUCACUCCAACUUGGGAACAUUCCCCUUGCAUGAGCUCACUGUCUCCCCAGGGACGUGGCCUUCGGGGAGGGGGCUCUGCUCUCCCUUUGGCGCAGGGCUGGGGUGGGGUGGGGCUGCAGGGAUGGGGGGUGGGGAGCCAGAGAGCCCCCCAUUUCUUCCCCCGUCCCUGGGGGCAGGAACGGCCACAGCCCCCAUCCCAGAGCGCUUGCUGGUUCACAGACACUGCCAGGGACCAGCUUGUGGAACGCAGCACCUUGGCACCCAUCAUAGGAGGGGAAACUGAGGCCAGGAGUGGGGCCGUCUCCUGCCUGGCACCUCCCGGCAAGUCCCAGGUGUGAGACUCCAUGCCCCGUCUACCCAGGACCCGGGAAAGCUCUCAGCCCCAGCUGGAGGGCCUGGCUCCCGACACCCAGCACUACCUCUCGGCACCAGGACCGACCCGGACGGUCGCGGCUAGAACCCUGGCUUUGCCUGCUACAGGCUGUGUGACCCUGAGCCUCAGUUUCCCCAUCUGGAAGACGGAGAUGAAGAGAGCUCCGGCACUAUCGGGAUGGCACAGGUUCAGGGAGGGGAGAGGUAGACACUAAGCGCUCAAUAAAUGUCAGCGGUCAUUGUGAUUAGAAAC
rnacentral:lncRNA from 1 species